UCACUUCACAUCUAGUUAAUAUGACUUUAAUUUGCUUCCCCAUUCUUCAAACUACUUAAGCUGUAGGCUUAAUAUUUCAUUUGGAAGUACAGCAGGAGAUGCAGAAGAGAUAAACUCUCUUGGGCUGAUAUCAUGCCCAUCCACACAGUUUUUAUUGCUUUUUAAACAGGUUAUUAAGGAGCAGAUCCCAAGCACAGGGGUCUCAUGCCUGGAAACAAAACAUGCCACUGAUCUCUUUCAGUCAGGUGCGUGAGCAGAACUUUGACGAGGUUGACAGGUUGCCUGAAGCUGAUAGCUCAGUGUUAUUGUUAGGUAGUGAUGAUCAGCUAGCCGUAUCUGCUAGGUUGGUUUGGCAGGACUUCAAGGUGUGCUUGGCAGGGCUGUUUGCCAGUUCUUGGUGGCAUUGUUGGUGUACUCCCUCUGUACUUCCUUUGCUACUUAUCUCACAGUACAAAACUCUCAGCAGGCAAGUGCCAGCAACCCCAUUAAAAUAUCAGGUAGUACUCUCCAGUGCUGCUAGGUGUCAUACACUUCUGUUGAAUAAUUAAUCUGUGAGGAAGAGGUUAGUAGGAGCAAUUUAUACCAAGCAGAGACCAACUCACGAGUGUACUCUGAAACAAAGAAAAUACACAAGUAGACACAAACUGAACACUAAAAAAAAGGCAGCCACAGGAUUUGCCAGUUUUUGAGAGCUUAGAAAAAUGGGAUACCGACUCAAGCAUCAACCACAACAAUAAAAACAAUUUAACUUGGAAGACUUUUAACUUCAUCCUCUCCAAGAACUCCAUGAGAUUCUCUGCACCUUCUGACUCAUUCUACGCAGCUGAAACCUCUGGACCGUAGCAACAAGGAACAGGAGAUGCUGGAGGGAGAAGCAGAGUGCACUGCAUUGAACAGAUACACAGCCUGCCUAGCAGGAGGAAGAGAAGGAGUCCAGUGACAGGCAGCCUCCUAGGACCUGAGAGUACUCCCCAGCAGCUGCAAGCCUAUCACAAGCUAUCUACAAGAGACACAAAUACAGGUCACUGAUGCUUGGUGGAUGAAGAAGAGAAACAAAUAACACUUAGGAGACUGAAUUUUUUCCACCUGCCAUAAAUAUAGGGCUAAGGAAGAUGACAGGUCUAUCUGCCAUGGAUUGUGAAAGCCCAGGAAGAAACAGAAAA